GUCCAAGUUGGCAAAAUAGUUAGUUAUAGUGGCCCAAGAAAAGUGUCCGAUAGACCUAUUCAGAUCGCAGCCGAAAAGACAGCUAACGAUUAGCGGGCCGCAGAUGGGCGAUCAGGUUACGUCGCGACGGAGGGGCCAGUUGGAUAACUCCCUCGGGCAGAUAACGUCGGUGGUCCAGUCGUGAAGACCCGAUGGGGCUCCGCAUCGGCAGUAAAACGGGUCAGGAUAGCCGGCUGACUAAGACUGACAUGGAGCUGGAGGUGCUGCGAUACACUAACCGGAUUUCCAGUGAAGCCCAUAAAGAGAUAAUGAAGCAUGUGAGACACAGACAGAAAGAAUAUGAAAUGGAGAGGUUGGUGGUUCCUGGUCCCCUAGCUGAUGCUGUCCCCCACCCCCCGGACAUCAAGUGAGGCCCAGCGUAUGCUGUCAGAUCCUUAUUGGACUCCUGACGUUGUGGGGGUCAACUCCAGUAUCUGGACUGGGAGGGGUAUGGGAGGCGUCUGCUCCUCCCCUCCGGCGUACAACGUCGCCAGAGUACUAACCAGUCAUCAUUACGCACACCUGGCACUCAUCAUUACACACACACCUGUGAAUCAUUAUGACUCACACCUGGACUCCAUUACCUUCAUAAUUUCCUCCCCUUUAUGUCACUCUCCCAUGUGCACUUACCAGUUGGUAUUGUUCUUGUGUCUCGGCGUACGUGUUCGUGUCGUGUUCUUGGUUUUGUUGUUUUAUUAAAAUGUUCACCUGCACCUGCUUCCGACUCACCACCCC
rnacentral:lncRNA from 1 species